GCCUGCUUAGCUCAGUUGGUUAGAGCGUCCGUCUCAUACGCGGAUUGUCACUGGUUCAAAUCUAGUAGCAGGCGAAUCCA
rnacentral:tRNA from 1 species